GGGCCUGUAGUCUAAUGGUAGAACACAUCGUUUGCAACGACGAGACCCGAGUUCGAUUCUCGGCAGGUCCA
rnacentral:tRNA from 1 species